rnacentral:rRNA from 1 species
UGAACGCUAGCGGGAGGCUUAACACAUGCAAGUCGAGGGGUAACAGGCUGGAAUUUCGGUUUCGGUGCUGACGACCGGCGCACGGGUGAGUAACGCGUAUGCAACCUACCUUUUACAGGGGGAUAGCUUUCGGAAACGGAAAUUAAUACCCCAUAAUACUACGAAGUGGCAUCACUAUGUAGUUAAAAUUUCGAUGGUAAAAGAUGGGCAUGCGUAACAUUAGUUAGUUGGUGAGGUAACGGCUCACCAAGACUACGAUGUUUAGGGGACCUGAGAGGGUGAUCCCCCACACUGGUACUGAGACACGGACCAGACUCCUACGGGAGGCAGCAGUGAGGAAUAUUGGUCAAUGGACGGAAGUCUGAACCAGCCAUCCCGCGUGCAGGAAGACGGCCCUAUGGGUUGUAAACUGCUUUUCUGAAGGAAGAAUAAUUACUACGUGUAGUGAGAUGACGGUACUUCAGGAAUAAGCAUCGGCUAACUCC